AUACGUAGGGGGCGAGCGUUGUCCGGAAUUAUUGGGCGUAAAGCGCGCGCAGGCGGUCCCUUAAGUCUGAUGUGAAAGCCCACGGCUCAACCGUGGAGGGUCAUUGGAAACUGGGGGACUUGAGUGCAGAAGAGGAGAGCGGAAUUCCACGUGUAGCGGUGAAGUGCGUAGAGAUGUGGAGGAACACCAGUGGCGAAGGCGGCUCUCUGGUCUGUAACUGACGCUGAGGCGCGAAAGCGUGGGGAGCAAACAGGAUUAGAUACCCUGGUAGUCCACGCCGUAAACGAUGAGUGCUAAGUGUUAGAGGGGGUUAAACCCUUUAGUGCUGUAGCUAACGCGUUAAGCACUCCGCCUGGGGAGUACAGCCGCAAGGCUGAA
rnacentral:rRNA from 1 species